AGGUUGUGGCUCAGUGGUAGAGCACUCACCUAGCAUGUGUGAGGCAUUGGGUUCAAUCCUCAGUAUCACUUA
rnacentral:tRNA from 1 species